rnacentral:rRNA from 1 species
GUAGUCCGCACGGUAAACGAUGGAUGCCCGCUGUUCCGGUUUUGAAUUGGAGUGGCCAAGCGAAAGCGUUAAGCAUCCCACCUGGGGAGUACGCCGGCAACGGUGAAACUCAAAGGAAUUGACGGGGGCCCGCACAAGCGGAGGAACAUGUGGUUUAAUUCGAUGAUACGCGAGGAACCUUACCCGGGCUUGAACUGCCAGCGGACGAUUCAGAGAUGAUGAGGUCCUUCGGGACGCUGGUGGAGGUGCUGCAUGGUUGUCGUCAGCUCGUGCCGUGAGGUGUCGGCUUAAGUGCCAUAACGAGCGCAACCCCUGUCUUCAGUUGCCAUCAGGUAGUGCUGGGCACUCUG